AUAGGAUGAAUGCAACACCCCCCGCAAGCCCGGCAGAAGAUCCUACCCAACGUGGGUGUGUGUGCAUGGAUGGAAAAAACAUAGCAGCUAAAAAUAAAAGAUAGGCAUAUUAAAAUAGCAAGUUAAACCAUUUUAACAUGGAUGAAAGUUGGCUAUUGUGAAUAUACAUAAAAUUCUGAACAUUUUACAUAUUUGACAUGUUUUAUUUAGAUGCAUGGAUAAUUAGUUAUUGGCAUAUUAAAGCGUGGCCUUUUGUGAAAUAUGCAAUGUCGUGAUUAAAAGCAAAAUCUACAGAGCAGAAAAAAUAUAUAGGAUGAAUGCAACACACUCCGCAAGCCCGGCA
rnacentral:lncRNA from 1 species